rnacentral:rRNA from 1 species
AGAGUUUGAUCAUGGCUCAGGAUGAACGCUGGCGGCAGGCCUAACACAUGCAAGUCGAACGGAUGUAGCAAUACAUUAGUGGCGCACGGGUGCGUAACGCGUGGGAACAUGCCCUUGGGUGCGGGAUAGCUACUGGAAACGGUAAUUAAUACCGCAUAAUGACUUCGGUCCAAAGAUUUAUCGCCCAAGGAUUGGCCCGCGUCUGAUUAGCUAGUUGGUGAGGUAACGGCUCACCAAGGCGACGAUCAGUAGCUGGUCUGAGAGGAUGAUCAGCCACACUGGGACUGAGACACGGCCCAGACUCCUACGGGAGGCAGCAGUGAGGAAUAUUGGACAAUGGGGGCAACCCUGAUCCAGCCAUGCCGCGUGAGUGAAGAAGGCCUUCGGGUUGUAAAGCUCUUUCAGGUGCGACGAUAAUGACGGUACCACCAGAAGAAGCCCCGGCUAAAUUCGUGCCAGCAGCCGCGGUAAUACGAAUGGGGCAAGCGUUGUUCGGAAUCACUGGGCUUAAAGCGUGCGUAGGCGGAUUUGCAAGUCAGAAGUGAAAUCCCCGGGCUCAACCCGGGAAUUGCUUUUGAAACUGCAAAUCUAGAAUCCGGGAGAGGUCAGCAGAAUUCCCAGUGUAGAGGUGAAAUUCGCAGAUAUUGGGAGGAAUACCAGUGGCGUAGGCGGCUGACUGGACCGGUUUUGACGCUGAGGUACGAAAGCGUGGGUAGCAAACAGGAUUAGAUACCCUAGUAGUCC